UAAUACCAUUCAAAUCGACAUCUUCUUCAAAGGUUGAUUCUAACAUUUCAAGAUUAAUUUGAUGCUUUUAAGGUGCACAAACUUCUUCCCACUCUGAAACUCAUUGAUCGAACUAACGCAAAGACGUUGUUGAAAGUCACAUGUCUGUUUAUUUUUGACUCAGUCGCUACAGCUAAGAAAGAAAGAAUGCAGUGCGGUCAUACUUGUGUAACACUGAAAAACAAAAAGUUUGGACAGUCGGACCCUGAAGUUUAAGUGCAUGGACCAAAAAAAAAAAUAAAUGAAAUGAGGGUAAACUAGUUUUGGCUGGUCCUGAUUUAGUUCAAACUGCCUCUGUAAAAAACAAAAUUUAAUAUUUAAAUAACUUUUUUUACUACUUUAAGAAUAUCUCUCAACAACAAUUAAAAAUGAUGCAAUUUUUGUAUCCUAUCAUAUCAACUUCUUUUCAGUAUGUUAUCUCUAAAGAAAAGAUAAAUAUUGUAAAUUAAAAAAAAGAAAUCUAGGAAAAAAACCAACCAACGCACAGAGUUAAUUUUUUGCUCUAUAUUUAAUGGCAUACAUUAUAUUUUUAUUAUUGUUUACCUGAGUCAAAUUUGAUAUAUGAAUAUAUUGCCUAGCUUUUUAUUUUUGUAUAAUGAACGUAAAAAUAUGAAAUUGGAUUAGCCGAUAACAAAAACAAAAUUAGAAAGAAAUAUUACUUAGUCGUGGGUAAUUUGGUAUUCAGAUGUAAUUCAAUUAGGAUAGCAACCACUUGUAGAGUACUACCUAGUACAAAUAUGAAAAAAUA